ACGGGUGAGUAACGCGUGGGAACGUGCCCUUCGGUUCGGAAUAACUCAGGGAAACUUGAGCUAAUACCGGAUACGUGCGAGAGCAGAAAGGUUUAUCUGCCGAAGGAUCGGCCCGCGUCUGAUUAGCUAGUUGGUGAGGUUAUGGCUCACCAAGGCGACGAUCAGUAGCUGGUCUGAGAGGAUGAUCAGCCACACUGGGACUGAGACACGGCCCAGACUCCUACGGGAGGCAGCAGUGGGGAAUAUUGGACAAUGGGGGCAACCCUGAUCCAGCCAUGCCGCGUGAGUGAUGACGGCCUUAGGGUUGUAAAGCUCUUUUCUCCGGGACGAUAAUGACGGUACCGGAGGAAUAAGCCCCGGCUAACUUCGUGCCAGCAGCCGCGGUAAUACGAAGGGGGCUAGCGUUGCUCGGAAUCACUGGGCGUAAAGGGCGCGUAGGCGGCUGAUUUAGUCGAGGGUGAAAGCCCGUGGCUCAACCACGGAAUGGCCUUCGAUACUGGUUGGCUUGAGACCGGAAGAGGACGGCGGAACUGCGAGUGUAGAGGUGAAAUUCGUAGA
rnacentral:rRNA from 1 species